GCCGCGGUCGCUUAGUCUGGCCAUAGCGGAGGAUUGCUAAUCCUCUGUCCGUAAGGGCACGUGAGUUCAAAUCUCACCCGCGGCG
rnacentral:tRNA from 1 species